UCGUAUCAUUAUCAUCACACCGCAGAUUUUGUUUCUGAACCUGUUCUUAUUCGGGUUUCACUUGAGGCCCAUUUAUAAUUGAGAAGUUUAGGGAUAGUGGUAUCUUACGUAAAUUUUACGAGACAAAGGGGUACAACUGAGAAUAGGAAGUAUACACAUCAUUCAGACAUUGAUUUAGUAGUCAUCGACGUUCGGACGAACUUGCCGUGGAGAGACUUUCGAGCUUAGUCAAUUAUUUUCAUCCUCAGUUACUUUCAACGAAAUCUCAAAUGAAUUAUUUCGUCAACCGGUCUACUUCGAUCUGUUUUAUACUACAUAACUUAAAUUUUAUAUCAUCGAAAUCAAAAUGAAAAUUCAAACAGUAUAACUAUUAAUUAAUUUAAUUUAUUUUGAGUUCCACAAUAACAUUGAAAUCUAGAUGAAAAUUCAAUGUUGUGUUUUUUUUUGCUUCUACCAACUCCAAGAAUGAAAGACCGAAAAUUAAAGGAUCAGUUAAGUCAAACUGUUUGGUCUUAAAUUCCAUUCUAAUAUACGUACGUUUUUAUAAAAUAUAUAGUCAGAUAUUGUGUUUGUUUUUAUGUAAAUGCUCC
rnacentral:lncRNA from 1 species